rnacentral:rRNA from 1 species
GAUGAACGCUGGCGGCGUGCCUAAUACAUGCAAGUCGAGCGAACAGAUGAGGAGCUUACUCCUCUGACGUUAGCGGCGGACGGGUGAGUAACACGUGGAUAACCUACCUAUAAGACUGGGAUAACUUCGGGAAACCGGAGCUAAUACCGGAUAAUAUAUUGAACCGCAUGGUUCAAUAGUGAAAGACGGUUUUGCUGUCACUUAUAGAUGGAUCCGCGCCGCAUUAGCUAGUUGGUAAGGUAACGGCUUACCAAGGCAACGAUGCGUAGCCGACCUGAGAGGGUGAUCGGCCACACUGGAACUGAGCCACGGUCCAGACGCCUACGGGAGGCAGCAGUAGGGAAUCUUCCGCAAUGGGCGAAAGCCUGACGGAGCAACGCCGCGUGAGUGAUGAAGGUCUUCGGAUCGUAAAACUCUGUUAUUAGGGAAGAACAAAUGUGUAAGUAACUAUGCACGUCUUGACGGUACCUAAUCAGAAAGCCACGGCUAACUACGUG